GGGGAUAUGGCGAAAUUGGUAGACGCUACGGACUUAAUAAAUCCGUCGACUUUAAAAAUCGUGAGGGUUCAAGUCCCUCUAUCCCCA
rnacentral:tRNA from 13 species